GGCCCACCAAAGCGACGAUCAGUAGCCGGCCUGAGAGGGUGGACGGCCACAUUGGGACUGAGACACGGCCCAGACUCCUACGGGAGGCAGCAGUGGGGAAUAUUGCACAAUGGGGGAAACCCUGAUGCAGCGACGCCGCGUGAGCGAAGAAGUAUCUCGGUAUGUAAAGCUCUAUCAGCAGGGAAGAAAAUGACGGUACCUGACUAAGAAGCACCGGCUAAAUAC
rnacentral:rRNA from 1 species